UACGUAGGGUGCGAGCGUUGUCCGGAAUUAUUGGGCGUAAAGAGCUUGUAGGCGGUUUGUCGCGUCUGCCGUGAAAGCCCAGGGCUUAACCCUGGGUCUGCGGUGGGUACGGGCAGACUAGAGUGUGGUAGGGGAGACUGGAAUUCCUGGUGUAGCGGUGAAAUGCGCAGAUAUCAGGAGGAACACCGAUGGCGAAGGCAGGUCUCUGGGCCAAUACUGACGCUGAGAAGCGAAAGCAUGGGGAGCAAACAGG
rnacentral:rRNA from 1 species